UGUGUUUAGUUGCGUGUUUAAAUGAUAGAAUGGGUUUGUUGGUCUGGUGGUUGGUAGUGUGUUAGUGUGCCUUUUGGUCCCGGGUUCAAGCCCCUAGGAGUGUUUUGAGGGACCAUUUUUUUUGUUUUUUUUAAAGGUUUAGAUAAUUAUCUUCUUUACUUAGUGUUUAUUUUUUUCUUUUCUUUCUUUUUGGACAUUCUCCUCUUCCCCUUUAUUUGUUUUCUUUUUGUUAUUUCUUCUUUUCUUUUUUGAAAAAGGUUGUGUUUGUAACACCCCUAAUCCCUCUCAGUCGCCAGAAUAAGGUCAUGGAGUAUUACCAAAGUUUACAGAUCAAUUACAGAAAAAUUCAUAUAAUUUACUAUUCAUAUCCAAAAUGAUUCAUUCAGAGAAUCUUUCGUGAAAUUUAUAAAUUUUUGCUUAGGUGUAGGGGACAGAUGCCCGUGUGGCCAAGCCGUGUGGCUCACACGGCCAAGUGACUCG
rnacentral:lncRNA from 1 species